GGGGACUCACGGUUUAAGCUAUUCUAUUUUUGUGAAUCUUGAUUAAUUUUGGCUUUAUUUUAUUUUAUUUUAUUUUAUUUUAUCUUUCCCAUGUUUAUUUUUAUUUUUAAAUCCCUAACUUCCAUUUUUGUUUUAUUUUAUUUUUAUUUUAUUCUGUGCUAACAAGAUUUUCUAGAUUUUUUGUGUUUGUUUAUGCAGGAUUGUACCUGAAGCAAAAAUUUUG
rnacentral:lncRNA from 1 species